AGAGUUUGAUCCUGGCUCAGAAUCAACGCUGGCGGCGCGCUUAACACAUGCAAGUCGCACGAGAAAGGGAGCAAUCCUGAGUAAAGUGGCGUACGGGUGAGUAACACGUGGAUCAUCUACCUUCUAGUGGGGAAUACCUCCGGGAAACUGGAGACAAUACCGCAUAAGCUCGUGAGAGGAAAGCAGCAAUGCGCUGGAAGAGGAGUCCGCGGCUGAUUAGCUAGUUGGCGGGGUAACGGCCCACCAAGGCGAAGAUCGGUAGCCGGCCUGAGAGGGCACACGGCCACACUGGCACUGAAACACGGGCCAGACUCCUACGGGAGGCAGCAGUGGGGAAUCUUGCACAAUGGAGGAAACUCUGAUGCAGCGACGCCGCGUGAGCGAUGAAGCCCUUCGGGGUGUAAAGCUCUUUCGACGGGAACGAUAAUGACGGUACCCGAAGAAGAAGCUGCGGCUAACUACGUGCCAGCAGCCGCGGUAAUACGUAGGCAGCAAGCGUUGUUCGGAAUUACUGGGCGUAAAGAGUGUGUAGGCGGUGUUCUAAGUCUGUUGUGAAAUCUCCCGGCUCAACUGGGAGGGUGCGGCGGAGACUGGAAUGCUAGAGUAUGGGAGAGGUAAGCGGAAUUCCUGGUGUAGCGGUGAAAUGCGUAGAUAUCAGGAGGAACACCUGGUGUAGACAGCUUACUGGACCAUGACUGACGCUGAGACACGAAAGCGUGGGUAGCAAACAGGAUUAGAUACCCUAGUAGUCC
rnacentral:rRNA from 1 species